rnacentral:rRNA from 1 species
GACGAACGCUGGCGGCGUGCCUAAUACAUGCAAGUCGAACGAGAGCAACCGGUGCUUGCACUGGUCAAUCUAGUGGCGAACGGGUGAGUAACACGUGGGUAACCUGCCCAUCAGAGGGGGAUAACAUCCGGAAACGGAUGCUAAAACCGCAUAGGUCUUCGAACCGCAUGGUUUGAAGAGGAAAAGAGGCGCAAGCUUCUGCUGAUGGAUGGACCCGCGGUGCAUUAGCUAGUUGGUGAGGUAACGGCUCACCAAGGCCGUGAUGCAUAGCCGACCUGAGAGGGUGAUCGGCCACAUUGGGACUGAGACACGGCCCAAACUCCUACGGGAGGCAGCAGUAGGGAAUCUUCCGCAAUGGACGCAAGUCUGACGGAGCAACGCCGCGUGAGUGAAGAAGGUUUUCGGAUCGUAAAGCUCUGUUGUUAGGGAAGAACAAGUGCUAGAGUAACUGUUAGCGCCUUGACGGUAUCUAACCAGAAAGCCACGGCUAACUACGUG